rnacentral:rRNA from 1 species
GACGAACCGUGCGAACGUUGUUCGGAAUCACUGGGCUUAAAGGGCGCGUAGGCGGGUUCGCAAGUCUGUGGUGAAAGCCCCCGGCUUAACCGGGGAAGGGCCGUGGAUACUGCGAAUCUUGAGGAGGGUAGGGGCAUCUGGAACGGUCGGUGGAGCGGUGAAAUGCGUUGAUAUCGACCGGAACUCCGGUGGCGAAGGCGAGGCGCUGGACCCUUCUGACGCUGAGGCGCGAAAGCCAGGGGAGCAAAGCGGGG